rnacentral:sRNA from 1 species
GUCGUGAGAUGUUGGGUUAAGUCCCGCAACGAGCGCAACCCCUACUGUGUGUUGUAUCACUCACACGGGACUGCCGAGAGAAACUCGGAGGAAGGUGGGGAUGACGUCAAGUCAGCAUGGCCCUUACGUCCUGGGCUACACCCACGCUACAAUGGCCGGUACAACGGGCUGCAAAACCGCGAGGUGGAGCUAAUCCCUUAAAGCCGGUCUCAGUUCGGAUUGUAGGCUGCAACUCGCCUACAUGAAGCCGGAGUUGCUAGUAACCGCCGGUCAGCAUACGGCGGUGAAUAUGUUCCCGGGCCUUGUACACACCGCCCGUCACGUCAUGAAAGCUGGCAACACCCGAAGCCGGUGGGCCAACCGCAAGGAGGCAGCCGUCGAAGGUGGGGUUGGUGAUUGGGGACGAAGUCGUAACAAGGUAGCCGUACCGGAAGGUGCGGCUGGAUCACCUCCUUUCUAGGGAGAUCCGAGUCUCGGCCUUUUGGUGGGGUCGAGGCGUUGAUGGCUCCUAGGGUUGAUCGCACGGUCGCUCGAGUCUCCCCGCCAGGUGGAGCUCGUCGGAGACGAUCCGCAAGGAUCGCGACCGGAGACCGAUACGCGACCUGGAAAGAACACCGAACCCAUUCGAACAUCCCGAACGCGGUAUUUCCUGUCACUCUUCAAGGGUUGAGGUGCAGCCGUCCGCGGGCGACGACCGAGUCGUCGAUCCAGGGCCUGGCCGCCACCCGCGGCGGGCGUUUAGCUCAGCUGGUUAGAGCACUGCCCUGAUAAGGCAGAGGUCUCUGGUUCGAGUCCAGAAACGCCCACCAUUCCACCCACCCACCUGACGUCGGGGACGUAGCUCAGCUGGUAGAGCAUCUCCUUUGCAAGGAGAGGGUCAGGAGUUCGAGUCUCCUCGUCUCCACCACCUUCGCUCCCGAGUCAGGCGCAAUCGAACAGUUCGGGUCCAUCCCCGAGGCCAUCGCAGAAAGUCGGGGACCAACGCGCAUCGAACCCCUGAUCCGUGACCUUCCCGCGAGGGACGAGGUCACCGACCAGCGGAUCGCUGGGCGGCGGAUCGGCGUGGGCCGGCCCGCCCGGGCUCGCUCGAGAGAGCGAGCGCACCUUAACAACUGGAUAUGUUUCGGCAGAUUGAAGAUCUUCGAUUUCGCCGAGUAGUCAAGGAAAUGAUCCCGAUCGAUCCCAUCCGUCGCUGGCCGCCUGGUCAGAGGCUGGAGGGGGUCAAGCUACAAAGGGCACGGGGUGGAUGCCUUGGCGCCAAGAGCCGAUGAAGGACGUGGCAGGCUGCGAAAAGCUCCGGGGAGUCGCGAGCAGACUUUGAUCCGGAGAUGU